GCUGGCGUAUAUUGUUUGUUACUAUGCUAUGCAUUUUUGUGUUUUCUGUUUUGUAAACUGCCCUGUGAGCCCUAGUCAAAGAGCAGUACAGUACAGAAAUUUAAUAAUAAUCUUGGCAGACCAUGAAAGCCCCCGCCCCCAGCUUCUCUGCUCAGUUCCUUCCCUGCCACCAGGCAAGAGGAGUGAGAAAUGAAUUCACACAUCUUCUUGGUUCCAGAAGAGUCUUCACCUCUGUUGUUUCUCUUCCCUCCACCUCAGAGUUCCUCCAGUGCUGUUCAGCAUCUAGUCCUCAAGACAGAGUGCUGGCCCUCUCCAUGUCAAGGGAGGGGGGAAAGUGAACCCUGACAACCCACUUCUCUUCCGCAGCUCGGGGAAUCCCACAACAAGGGAUUCUGCAAGUCCCCAAACCCGAUCACCACCGGAGCACACUGCUGGUUGGCCUCACUAGCAGAAUUGCUUCCAGGUGCACAGAGGAGGAAGGGUGAGAAGGGUGGGAGGGAGUGGAGGUGGGAAGAGUCGCUUCUCCAGAGGUGACCUGGAGCCCUGGAACCCUUUCACCUCCAAAGGCAGGUGAACUGAGCUUUACUAACCCCACUUCCCCUUUGCAGCCCAGAACAACUCAGGACCUUUUGUCCUGGAGGCUGAGUGAGUCUAGAAAGUGAGAACCAGCCUGACCCCAAAAUUUAUCAGUUAAUACAUGACUCCUGUCUGCUGUCCAAUGCAGACCUAUUAGGGCUUCUCAGAAGCACAGAGUGCCUCCUAUAAUCACAGGUCCACAGUCGGUCCUGGAGAGCCUCGUUCAAGUCUUUCAAGGGAGACUCUGGUCUGGUGCAGCUGGUGGAGAUUCUAGAGUGUGCUGUGCAAUUCACCCUCCCUCUUCCAGAACCGAAGAGUGAAAGAGUGGAAGGCAAAUGCUUGGAAGAUCCCUCCUGCAGAUCCCUCCAACGUGGAUCCCCUGGGCCAACUGCCUCCCUAGCAUCCAGGGUGCAACCUGCCUCUUGUUCAAGCUCCAGAGGAGUAUUUUCAGAUCACGAUGAUGGCGCCUGAAUGAUAUAAACUUCAUGGACUGCAAUGCCACCACUGCACCUUGUUUAAACCCGCAAUAAACCUUGCAUUUUGAAAGUGUUCUCUGGGCCAAAUUCCAAAAAGAGCCAAAGCACCGAUUGCCAACCAAUCUUCUCUUCUGCAGCUGGUGGCUGUUGGGAGCCGCAGUUUCCGUCGGGCUGGGCCGACAUCACACCAGGAAGACAAAAUAAAACAUCCAGACCUACAGGCAGCACCAGAAGCCACCUUCAAGAAAAGCCUGUGUCCCACCUACGAGAAGCAGGCGACCCUAGUACAACACCUGAAGCUGCAACAGGGUCGCAUGAAGGAAGCGUGCAGGCUGCCUCUUGUUCAAGUUUCGGAGGGGUUUUUUGCGUUCGCGAUAACGGAGAGUCAGCUGAGGGCUACGGUUCUGCCACUAGACCAUGUUUGAUCCAUCAAGUGAAGGUGUGCAGGUGGAAAGUGGUGCAAGACCCUCUGCUGCUUCC